GUGCAGAACAGAAAGUGACUGUUCUAUAGCUUUGGCUGCACAGACAAUAGAGGUCGACCCCUGGGAUCGUCUCCUUUGGGUGUGCAAGACAAAAAUAGCUUGCCAUUCAGCCCCUUUUGACGGGGGUCGACCUAGGGGGUCAACCUUUUUCUUUAAACUUGAUUUUCUCUCAAAAUAUACAUCCAAAAAAUAUGAAAUUACCUCCAAU
rnacentral:lncRNA from 1 species